UNUNUAGACAUUGUUCAUGACUCACGCAAAUGGUCCGGCUCAUGGCCUCGGCGAUUCUUGUGGCUGAGGCGCGAAACUCGCAAUGCACGAAAGUGUGACGGGGCUCCCCGAGUGCCGUCCGCUGAGGAUGGCUUUUCCUUGGUGUAACUAGCCGGGGGAAUAAGGAGAGGGCAAAGACUGGUGUCAGCCGCCGCAGGUAAUCCAGCUCUCCGAGUGGUAGGACGGGAUUAUUGGGCUUAAAGCGUCCGUAGCCGGCUUUAGCAAGUUUCUUGUUAAAUUCAGCGACCUAAUCGUUGAGCCGCGGGAAAUCUACUAGGCCUAGGAGGCGGGAGAGGUCUACGGUACUUCUGGGGUAGGGCGAAAUCUAUAUUCCCGGGAGGACCACCAGUGCGAAGGUGUCACUAGAACGCGCUCGACUGGUAGGGACGAAAGCUGGGGGAGCACCGGAUUAAUCCCGGGGAUCCAUGUAACGAUCGGGUAGUGUUGGGGGGGCUCUGCCAUUCAGUGCCCAGGAACCAUUAACCCCUCCCUGGGAGACGGCCCAAGGUAACUUAAAGAUUGGGGGGAAACCCAAAGCGGGAAUUGUUUAAUGGACACCCGGACUUUCCGGGCCAAAAAAAGAACCAAUAAGCUUGUUACUAAAAGGGAUGCCCCCUUGCGGAGUCUGUUGAAUUACC
rnacentral:rRNA from 1 species